UAGGGAAUCUUCCGCAAUGGGCGAAAGCCUGACGGAGCAACGCCGCGUGAGUGAUGAAGGUCUUCGGAUCGUAAAACUCUGUUAUUAGGGAAGAACAAAUGUGUAAGUAACUAUGCACGUCUUGACGGUACCUAAUCAGAAAGCCACGGCUAACUACGUGCCAGCAGCCGCGGUAAUACGUAGGUGGCAAGCGUUAUCCGGAAUUAUUGGGCGUAAAGCGCGCGUAGGCGGUUUUUUAAGUCUGAUGUGAAAGCCCACGGCUCAACCGUGGAGGGUCAUUGGAAACUGGAAAACUUGAGUGCAGAAGAGGAAAGUGGAAUUCCAUGUGUAGCGGUGAAAUGCGCAGAGAUAUGGAGGAACACCAGUGGCGAAGGCGACUUUCUGGUCUGUAACUGACGCUGAUGUGCGAAAGCGUGGGGAUCCAACAGG
rnacentral:rRNA from 1 species